rnacentral:rRNA from 1 species
AGACCCGAAACCCGGUGAUCUAGCCAUGGGCAGGUUGAAGGUUGGGUAACACUAACUGGAGGACCGAACCGACUAAUGUUGAAAAAUUAGCGGAUGACCUGUGGCUGGGGGUGAAAGGCCAAUCAAACCGGGAGAUAGCUGGUUCUCCCCGAAAGCUAUUUAGGUAGCGCCUCGUGAACUCAUCUCCGGGGGUAGAGCACUGUUUCGGCUAGGGGGCCAUCCCGGCUUACCAACCCGAUGCAAACUGCGAAUACCGGAGAAUGUUAUCACGGGAGACACACGGCGGGUGCUAACGUCCGUCGUGAAGAGGGAAACAACCCAGACCGCCAGCUAAGGUCCCAAAGUCAUGGUUAAGUGGGAAACGAUGUGGGAAGGCCCAGACAGCCAGGAUGUUGGCUUAGAAGCAGCCAUCAUUUAAAGAAAGCGUAAUAGCUCACUGGUCGAGUCGGCCUGCGCGGAAGAUGUAACGGGGCUAAACCAUGCACCGAAGCUGCGGCAGCGACACUUUAGUGUUGUUGGGUAGGGGAGCGUUCUGUAAGCCGUUGAAGGUGUCCUGUGAGGGGUGCUGGAGGUAUCAGAAGUGCGAAUGCUGACAUAAGUAACGAUAAAGCGGGUGAAAAGCCCGCUCGCCGGAAGACCAAGGGUUCCUGUCCAACGUUAAUCGGGGCAGGGUGAGUCGACCCCUAAGGCGAGGCCGAAAGGCGUAGUCGAUGGGAAACGGGUUAAUAUUCCCGUACUUGGUGUUACUGCGAAGGGGGGACGGAGAAGGCUAUGUUGGCCGGGCGACGGUA